rnacentral:lncRNA from 1 species
GGCGGCAGGCAUCGCUACCCUACGGCGCCUCACCCCGCGGGAGAAGCGACUGCAGGCGCCUCUGCCUGCGGGCUACCAACCCCGUCGAUGUCACGCCCCUCAAAAUAUCCAUGAUAUUUAAAGUUUUUCAACAUCAAUCCAUGAUCCAAACUAACAUUUGAGGACACUGAAAAACAUUCUAUCAAAUUCACAUCUAUAAAACCUGUGCAGUUUAUAAUAAUAUAUCACAACACUCGAUAAUUCACAUUUAUGACAACCCAAACCAAACUCGACAAACAUGAAUAACAUUUAUAAAUCCACAAGCUAAAUAAAUUAUACAAUCAGAACUCCAACUAUUCACCACAAGUUCAUAUCAUCUUAAAUUAGACUUAACAUUCUGAAAUUCCAAAUAAGAGAGAUCUUCUAACACUUUUACACAGUAUAUCCAUUUCGAUUCAUCGACAACAUUUCAUUACAUACAAAAUAUGCUUAUAUAACAAUAACAUAAUAACCAACAAGACUUGCCCAUAAUUCUGAAUAGCUCUCCACUGCCUCAGCCCAAUUCAAACAUCUCAAAGAGUCACAAGCUGACCUGAAAGAUUUAUAUAACAACGGAGUGAGCUAAAAACAGCUCAACAAGUAACAAAGCAUAUAUAGCAUGAGAAGGGACAGUUUCAAACAAACAAGAUAUCACAAUGCAAAACAGAAUCUAAGAGAUUUAAGGAUAUCAUCUCAUUAGAUACAGAAUCACAAAUGUCAUUUCAUUCAUAACAUAUUUGGUUCAUAACAAAUGGAGCAUAGAGUAAUUGGAGCAUAUCAAUAGCCUACGAGAUGAUCCGGAGCAUAUUAAUGAUAAAUAGGACAUUUUAGAAUAUAUUAGUUCAUAGCAAAUGG